rnacentral:rRNA from 1 species
UACGAAGGGUGCAAGCGUUAAUCGGAAUUACUGGGCGUAAAGGGUGCGUAGGCGGUUCGUUAAGUCUGUCGUGAAAUCCCCGGGCACAACCUGGGAAUGGCGAUGGAUACUGGCGAGCUAGAGUGUGUCAGAGGAUGGUGGAAUUCCCGGUGUAGCGGUGAAAUGCGUAGAGAUCGGGAGGAACAUCAGUGGCGAAGGCGGCCAUCUGGGACAACACUGACGCUGAAGCACGAAAGCGUGGGGAGCAAACAGG